rnacentral:rRNA from 1 species
AUUGAACGCUGGCGGCAGGCCUAACACAUGCAAGUCGAACGGUAACAGGAAGCAGCUUGCUGCUUUGCUGACGAGUGGCGGACGGGUGAGUAAUGUCUGGGAAACUGCCUGAUGGAGGGGGAUAACUACUGGAAACGGUGGCUAAUACCGCAUAACGUCGCAAGACCAAAGAGGGGGACCUUCGGGCCUCUUGCCAUCAGAUGUGCCCAGAUGGGAUUAGCUUGUUGGUGAGGUAACGGCUCACCAAGGCGACGAUCCCUAGCUGGUCUGAGAGGAUGACCAGCCACACUGGAACUGAGACACGGUCCAGACUCCUACGGGAGGCAGCAGUGGGGAAUAUUGCACAAUGGGCGCAAGCCUGAUGCAGCCAUGCCGCGUGUAUGAAGAAGGCCUUCGGGUUGUAAAGUACUUUCAGCGGGGAGGAAGGUGUUGUGGUUAAUAACCGCAGCAAUUGACGUUACCCGCAGAAGAAGCACCGGCUAACUCCGUGCCAGCAGCCGCGGUAAUACGGAGGGUGCAAGCGUUAAUCGGAAUUACUGGGCGUAAAGCGCACGCANGCGGUCUGUCAAGUCGGAUGUGAAAUCCCCGGGCUCAACCUGGGAACUGCAUUCGAAACUGGCAGGCUUGAG